CACAUGUACACAUAGAUAGACAGACACACACACACACACACACACACAUGCAAAGACACAGACCGUAAGAUGGAGAGACAGACAGAAACUCACAAAUACAGACACACACACACACACACAAACAAACACACGAGCCCUGUGCCUUUCUCACUGUGACGGAAUAGCCCCCCCCUCUCCUUCCUGUAGGCCGGGGACUCUUGACCCCCGUUAACCCCGCCCCCACCGCCAUCCUAUUGGUCCGUUCCAACUGCCCACGCCCCUCCCGUCCCCGCCCGGCAGACCCCUCCCUUUACCCUGUUGCUGCUGCAGCCUAUGGCGGAGCCAGGAUUGGCUGAGCCAGGAUUGGCUGACCGGACUGGACUCACUUCCCAUUGGUCCUGCCUUCUCAACUAAACUGCCUCCUCUUCCUCCUCUUCCUCCUGACAACUUGCAUCCAACCCCAUGCUAGUUUCCCAGAGCGCGUCCGGUCAGACCCGACACGUACCACUGUGAGCUCUGGAAGGGCUGCGUUACGUUACGGACAGACGGACACGUUAACCACAGCCAGAAACACCACGGCAGCACCGUGCAGCAAACUCUAACUCUUUUCUACGCGUAUGUACAGUAGCAAAACUGUAAAGUCGGAUCGCUUUAAGGGAUCCAACCCAUGAUGUCUGGGAUCAUACGGACCAGGAACUGAUGUGUGUGUGUGGCCCUGAACACGCGCACGCACACACACACACAGGGGGACCUGCUCCGCUCUCGUUUACCACGGACUAUGUAGCCUUUACUUGUUUGGCAAUCAUUUCAGUCGGUCGCCCGCUAGAUCCAAGGGUCCGGGCGUACGAGGGGCGGUUCUUCUCUCGUAACCGGCCAAUCAGAGUCGGCACCGACCGUAUGUUGGGGCCGCUGAUUGGUCGGUAUGGGAGCAAGGCCCCGCCCACCGUACGUCCGGACCCUUGGACGUAGUGCACCGCCCCAUUUCAGUUGCUCUAUAAUCAGCCAAGCUUCCCGCCCCCCCCCUCGCCGGCUCCCACUUGCUCUCUGCCCCCGCCCAAAAUGCACGCCCCUCCCUCGCUUAAAAAGAAAACGAGCACGUAACAAACGACCCCCACCCGGUGUCAUGUGGCCCGUGUGGACGGAGGUCAUGUGACAUGGGGGGGGGGGGGGGGGGGGCCUUUGGUAGUCACCCCUGUGCCUCUCAGCACCCAGUAGCCCUGAGAGACACCGCAGCCUGGGUCCCAAUGGGGGCCCCUGCUUCCCCCUUGGGCCCCUGGUUCCCACUGUGGUUCCCAUUGUGGCCCCUGGUUCCCACUGUGGUUCCCAUUGUGGCCCCUGGUUCCCACUGUGGUUUCCAUUGUGGCCCCUGGUUCCCAUUGUGGCCCCUGGUUCCCACUGUGGUUCCCGUUGUGGCCCCUGGUCCCACUGUGGUUCCCAUUGUGGCCCCUGGUCCCACUGGGGCCCUCCCCCCCCCCCCCCCCACACCAGCUCCUCCCUCGGGGCCCCCUCUCCUCAGAGGACACUAAAUAGUGAUUCACUUUGUGACGCUCCCUGUAAGUCGGGGCUUACGGGGCCGAUCCGGGAACGAUCCGGGAAGGCCCUCAUCCCGAAUUAGCCCCGUUUAUCCCGGUACGGGAGAGGGAAUUAUUUAUGGAGAACGUGGGGAGAAAAAAAAAGGGCGAUGUGCGUGUUUCUGUGUGUGUUUGUUUUUAACAUGUGACUGGUUCUGACGGACCGUUCUAUCCUACCUACGCUUCUGUCUGCUCGCUGCUGAACCAAAGCGCCGCUGCCCGGGACCUCGUGAGCGCUCAGGGGUGUUAAACGCGCGGCACACGGGGAAAGUGUGUCAAGGGAAAGAAGAAACAGCGUUUUAAUAAACGACAAUGAAUCGGAUUUAAUUCGCCCCCACGCUGCCGGAGCUCAGUUUAACCGCCUGAGGUGGGAGAGAAAAAAAAGGAAUGAAUGCAAAUCAGUUUUACCCCACUGUAUCCUCCCCCUCCCCCCCCCUGAACCUGACACCGUUUAUUUACACUGUGACUCAGGGCCGUAGUCCAGAAACCACACACACACACACACACACACACACACACACACACACACUCCUAAACACACACACACCCACCUGUGAACCCCCAGCAUCAGGAUGGAGUCGCUGGAGGAGCUGUUUAUUAUUAUUGUUGUUGGUUUGUUUUUAACCUUGUAGCGUGACUCAAGGUCCUCUUGUGGGCUUUACACACACACACACACACACACACACACACACACACACACACACACACACACACACACACACA